UUCUGCGCUAUACUGUGGAUUCCGUGGAAGAAAUGAAACAGAAGAAUUUUCUGUUUUGAAGCUAACUCAUUCAGCAAGACCAAGACCACUGAAACUACCAUGGAAAUGUUAAGAGAUUGGUUCAGAGCUGCUGACACAAGAAACAGAUCACUGCUGCAGAAGACGAUCCACGCUCUAGAGCCUUUAUUUUAAUCUCACAAGAGCAGUUUAUGCGGA
rnacentral:lncRNA from 1 species